GAUGAAGAACGUAGCGAAAUGCGAUAAGUAAUGUGAAUUGCAGAAUUCAGUGAAUCAUCGAAUCUUUGAACGCACAUUGCGCCCGCCAGUAUUCUGGCGGGCAUGCCUGUUCGAGCGUCAUUUCAACCCUCAGGCCCCCAGUGCCUGGUGUUGGGGAUCGGCCCAGCCUUCCUGUAAGGCCGCCGGCCCCGAAAUCUAGUGGCGGUCUCGCUGUAGUCCUCCUCUGCGUAGUAGCACAACCACGCAGUUGGAACGCGGCGGUGGCCAUGCCGUUAAACACCCCACUUCUGAAAGUUGACCUCGGAUCAGGUAGGAAUACCCGCUGAACUUAAGCAUAUCAAUAAGCGGAGGA
rnacentral:misc_RNA from 1 species